rnacentral:pre_miRNA from 1 species
UAUUGGUGCGGUUCAAUCGGAGAGCAUUACUCUAAAGUGUAGAGACGUGUUGUUUGAUUGAGCCGUGCCAAUAUC